CCUACGGGUGGCAGCAGUGAGGAAUAUUGGUCAAUGGCCGGAAGGCUGAACCAGCCAAGCCGCGUGAAGGACGAAGGUGCCAAGCAUUGUAAACUUCUUUUGUCAAGGGACAAAAUCAGGCUCGAGAGCCUGACCGAGGGUACUUGAAGAAAAAGCAUCGGCUAACUCCGUGCCAGCAGCCGCGGUAAUACGGAGGAUGCGAGCGUUAUCCGGAUUUAUUGGGUUUAACGGGUGCGUAGGCGGACCGUUAAGUCAGCGGUAAAAGGCCCGGGCUUAACCCGAGCAGGGCAGUUGAUACUGGCUGUCUUGAGAAGUCGAGAGGUAUGCGGAAUGCGCAGUGUAGCGGUGAAAUGCUUAGAUAUUGCGAAGAACUCCGAUUGCGAAGGCAGCAUGCCGGCGGCGAACUGACGCUGAGGCACGAAAGCGUGGGUAUCGAACAGGAUUAGAUACCCGAGUAGUC
rnacentral:rRNA from 1 species